UGCCAGACUCCUACGGGAGGCAGCAGUGAGGAAUAUUGGUCAAUGGCCGAGAGGCUGAACCAGCCAAGUCGCGUGAGGGAAGAAUGUCCUAUGGAUUGUAAACCUCUUUUGUCAGGGAGCAAAGUCACCCACGUGUGGGUGUUGGAGAGUACCUGAAGAAAAAGCAUCGGCUAACUCCGUGCCAGCAGCCGCGGUAAUACGGAGGAUGCGAGCGUUAUCCGGAUUUAUUGGGUUUAAAGGGUGCGUAGGCGGGCCGGUAAGUCAGCGGUAAAAAGGCGGAGCUCAACUCCGUCGAGCCGUUGAAACUGCCGUUCUUGAGUGAGCGAGAAGUAUGCGGAAUGCGUGGUGUAGCGGUGAAAUGCAUAGAUAUCACGCAGAACUCCGAUUGCGAAGGCAGCAUACCGGCGCUCAACUGACGCUGAAGCACGAAGGCGUGGGUAUCGAACAGGAUUAGAUACCCUAGUA
rnacentral:rRNA from 1 species